UACGUAGGGUGCAAGCGUUAAUCGGAAUUACUGGGCGUAAAGCGUGCGCAGGCGGUGAUGUAAGACAGAUGUGAAAUCCCCGGGCUCAACCUGGGACCUGCAUUUGUGACUGCAUCGCUAGAGUACGGCAGAGGGGGGAUGGAAUUCCGCGUGUAGCAGUGAAAUGCGUAGAUAUGCGGAGGAACACCGAUGGCGAAGGCAAUCCCCCUGGGCCUGUACUGACGCUCAUGCACGAAAGCGUGGGGAGCAAACAGG
rnacentral:rRNA from 1 species